AUACUUACCUGGUAGAGGAGAAUACCAGGAUUGCGAAGGUGAUUUUUUGAUCUGGGCACAUCUAACACAUUGCACUUCAGGUGUGCUGACCUCUGUGAUUUUCUCAAAUAUGGGAAAUUGGACUGCAUGAUUUGUGGUAGAGAGGGAUUGUGUUUGUACUCUCCACUU
ensembl:snRNA U1 U1 spliceosomal RNA